rnacentral:snoRNA from 1 species
CUGGGUGUGAUGCAUAAGAACAACAUCUGACUGACAAUGAUGGUGUUUGUAUUCAUACUGUCUGAUCCAG